AGAAUCAACGCUGGCGGCGUGCCUAACACAUGCAAGUCGAGCGCGAAAGGGGGGUAACUCCCCGAGUAGAGCGGCGAACGGGUGAGUAACGCGUGGGUAAUCUGCCUCCGAGUGGGGAAUAACAGCGGGAAACUGCUGCUAAUACCGCAUGACAUCGUCGAGCCUUCGGGUUGACGAUCAAAGGCCGGGGACCGCAAGGCCUGGCGCUUGGAGAGGAGCCCGCGUCCGAUUAGCUAGUUGGCGGGGUAACGGCCCACCAAGGCGACGAUCGGUAGCCGGCCUGAGAGGGCGGACGGCCACGACCUGGGACUGAGACACGGCCCAGACUCCUACGGAGGCAGCAGUGGGGAAUUUUCGCAAUGGGGGAAACCCUGACGAAGCAACGCCGCGUGGAGGAUGAAGGCCUUCGGGUCGUAAACGUCCUGUCGACCGGGACGGAAAGACUAUACCGACCCAACUAACGUCGGUAGUCGACUGUACCGGUAGAGGAAGACCACGGACUAACUAC
rnacentral:rRNA from 1 species